rnacentral:rRNA from 1 species
UACGUAGGGGGCGAGCGUUGUCCGGAAUUAUUGGGCGUAAAGAGCGUGUAGGCUGUUCGGUAAGUCUGCCGUGAAAACCUGAGGCUCAACCUCGGGCGUGCGGUGGAUACUGCCGGGCUAGAGGACGGUAGAGGCGAGUGGAAUUCCCGGUGUAGCGGUGAAAUGCGUAGAGAUCGGGAGGAACACCCGUAGCGAAGGCGGCCGACUGGACCACACCUGACGCUGAGGCGCGA